rnacentral:pre_miRNA from 1 species
UAAAUACUCCCUCCAUCCGAAAAUACUUGUCAUCAAAAUGGAUAAAAAGAGAUGUAUCUAAAACUAAAAUACGUCUAGAUACAUUUCCUUUUAUCCAUUUUGAUGACAAGUAUUUCCGGACAGAGGGAGUAUUUG